UGGGGAAUUUUGGACAAUGGGCGAAAGCCUGAUCCAGCAAUGCCGCGUGUGUGAAGAAGGCCUUCGGGUUGUAAAGCACUUUUGUCCGGAAAGAAAUCCUUGGCUCUAAUACAGUCGGGGGAUGACGGUACCGGAAGAAUAAGCACCGGCUAACUACGUGCCAGCAGCCGCGGUAAUACGUAGGGUGCAAGCGUUAAUCGGAAUUACUGGGCGUAAAGCGUGCGCAGGCGGUUUGCUAAGACCGAUGUGAAAUCCCCGGGCUCAACCUGGGAACUGCAUUGGUGACUGGCAGGCUAGAGUAUGGCAGAGGGGGGUAGAAUUCCACGUGUAGCAGUGAAAUGCGUAGAGAUGUGGAGGAAUACCGAUGGCGAAGGCAGCCCCCUGGGCCAAAUACUGACGCUCAUGCACGAAAGCGUGGGGAGCAAACAGGAUUAGAUACCCUGGUAGUCCACGCCCUAAACGAUGUCAACUAGUUGUUGGGGAUUCAUUUCCUAGUAACGUAGCUAACGCGUGAAGUUGA
rnacentral:rRNA from 1 species